rnacentral:rRNA from 1 species
AUUGAACGCUGGCGGCAUGCUUUACACAUGCAAGUCGAACGGCAGCACGGACUUCGGUCUGGUGGCGAGUGGCGAACGGGUGAGUAAUACAUCGGAACGUACCCAGUAAUGGGGGAUAACUAGUCGAAAGAUUAGCUAAUACCGCAUACGCCCUACGGGGGAAAGAGGGGGAUCGCAAGACCUCUUGUUAUUGGAGCGGCCGAGGGCUGAUUAGCUAGUUGGUGGGGUAAAGACCUACCAAGGCGACGAUCAGUAGCGGGUCUUAGAGGACGAUCCGCCACACUGGAACUGAGACACGGUCCAGACUCCUACGGGAGGCAGCAGCGGGGAAUCUUGGACAAUGGGCGAAAGCCUGAUCCAGCAAUGCCGCGUGCGUGAAGAAGGCCUUCGGGUUGUAAAGCGCUUUUGUCUGGGAGCAAAUCCUUGUGGCUAAUACCCACCGGGGAUGAGAGUACCAGAAGAAUAAGGACCGGCUAACUACAUGCCAGCCGCCGUCGUAA